UCAUGACUUUAAAAUUGCAUUGGGAAAACGGAAUUUUACUUUAUCGUUUGACGCUGAAAGAUUUAACGAAGCUGUAAGUUCAAAGUGUUAAACUCAUUGUACUGUUUGUCUGUUUCGGAAGCUAUCCCCGUGUGGGCUCAUGCCACGUCCUCGUCCUGCGAAAGGACGAUCCUUCUCAAUUAGAAAACCGAAAGACAGGGAGAGUAGCGCACACGAGCGUCAACCCUCCACCAUUAAUGUCGUCUUUCGCCUUAUCGUUAUCCCUCUGCCCGUUGACGUCACCCCCAACCCCGUCGCUCCGCCUGUCACCUCUCUCUUUCCACCAGGACCUCCUAACUGCUUCAACAGCCCGAAGAGUUCCAAACCUCGCGCUCCCAUGUCAAAACACAAGCUCAAACAAACCGCUUCUCUCACCAUUGUUAAUACCAAAGACCCGUAAUGUGGAGGUUCGAUCACAGCUUAGAUACCCAUACCCUAUUAUUUCUCCUGAUGACCACUGGGGCACGUGGACUGCUCUGUUCGUUAUCGGUGCUUUUGGUCUCCGGUCUGAGGAGACAAAGAUUGGAAGUAUGGUGAGUGCGGCAUUAGUGAGCACAUUGGUGGGGCUGGCAGCAAGCAAUCUGGGCAUAAUUCCUUUUGAAGCACCAGCUUAUUCUCUUUUCAUGGGGUUUUUGCUACCAUUGGCUGUUCCUUUGCUCUUGUUUAGAGCAGAUUCGCGUCGCGUCAUACGCUCAACUGGGACAUUGUUGCUCGCUUUCUUGCUUGGAUCAGGUUAGUAUGACUUGUUAACGAUCCCAUAUUUCCUAUAACUAUUCACAUCUUUUGAUCAGAAUGCCAUUAUUUUACUUAUGAUAUUCGAGGAUGAUCCUCCCACUUGUUCCUGUUCAGUGAUGUCCAGGAAUGUUAUUGAAUAUUAAAGCUUUUGAUUAUGGUUACCCUAAUAAUGAUUGAUGCCAGCAAGGGGAUUGUUUACAGUGCAAAGUGCAUGGAUUAUGGUAUCAAGUAGUUAAUACCCUUUACUAGUUAAGGCUCUGCUUCUUUGAAAUCCACUGCCUAAAAACAGUUUCAACAAUAGUUGGAACCCUAGUGGCUUUUCUGAUGGUGCCUAUGCGAUCACUUGGUCCAGAUAAUUGGAAAAUAGCUUCUGCUCUCAUGGGUAGUUAUAUUGGUGGAUUUUGAAGCAUGCCUCAUAACUGAGCAUUUUCUUUUGGAACACUGUAGCUGUUAACUACAUUGCAAUUUCAGAGGCUCUUGGUGUUUCUCCAUCAGUUUUGGCUGCCAGAGUCGCUGUGGACAAUGUUAUUUGUGCAAUAUACUUUAUGAUAUUAUUUGCAUUAGCCUCUAAAGUAGAUCCUGAGGCUUCAAAAUCAACCAAUGGUACAUAGCCUCACUCCUUGUUAUAAUGAUAUUCUACUAUAGAUAGAAGCAUGCACCAAUUCUCCUGGUUCCCUCUUGGAAUGGUUAACCACAUGUUUACUUCUCUGCUCCAGCACAACAGCUUUGGACAGCUACAUUUGCACUAGAAAACAAAAUUUAGAUUAAUUCUCUUUCCUGUUUAUCGAGUGUCCUUAAAAGUAAUUAAUUGCAAACUUGGCAUUGAUUUUUGUACAAGAUUGAAAUUAAAUAUGGAUAGAUUUUAUCAUGGUAUUGGUGUUAGUAUCUUUAGGAGAACCUUUUACUGUUUUUGGCAGAUGUUGAAAUGAAUUUGGAUUCUGAUUCGGGAGGCAAAAUCCCUGUGCUCCAGACAGCUACAGCUCUUGCUAUAUCCUUUUUGAUAUGUAAGA